rnacentral:rRNA from 1 species
UACGUAGGGGGCAAGCGUUGUCCGGAAUCAUUGGGCGUAAAGCGCGCGUAGGCGGCCCGGUAAGUCCGCUGUGAAAGUCAAAGGCUCAACCCUUGAAUGCCGACCGAUACUGUCGGGCUAGAGUCCGGAAGAGGUGAGUGGAAUUCCUGGUGUAGCGGUGAAAUGCGCAGAUAUCAGGAGGAACACCAAUGGCGAAGGCAGCUCACUGGGACGGUACUGACGCUGAGACGCGAAAGCGUGGGGAGCAAACAGG